rnacentral:rRNA from 1 species
CACUCCUACGGGAGGCAGCAGUGGGGAAUAUUGGACAAUGGGCGCAAGCCUGAUCCAGCCAUGCCGCGUGAGUGAUGAAGGCCCUAGGGUUGUAAAGCUCUUUCACCGGAGAAGAUAAUGACGGUAUCCGGAGAAGAAGCCCCGGCUAACUUCGUGCCAGCAGCCGCGGUAAUACGAAGGGGGCUAGCGUUGUUCGGAAUUACUGGGCGUAAAGCGCACGUAGGCGGAUCGAUCAGUCAGGGGUGAAAUCCCAGGGCUCAACCCUGGAACUGCCUUUGAUACUGUCGAUCUGGAGUAUGGAAGAGGUGAGUGGAAUUCCGAGUGUAGAGGUGAAAUUCGUAGAUAUUCGGAGGAACACCAGUGGCGAAGGCGGCUCACUGGUCCAUUACUGACGCUGAGGUGCGAAAGCGUGGGGAGCAAACAGGAUUAGAAACCCCGGUAGUCC